AUGGCCGGCUCUGGAUCGAGCUCAUCCGCACCCAAGGAAGGAGGCUUUCACUUGAUGAGUUGCCUAAAAGAAGUUCCGACACUCAGAGGUGACAACCACACUGAGUGGAGGAAGAAAGUUGAACUGGCAUUUGUUUGUGCUGAUCUGGACUGGGUUCUGGAUGAACCACAACCGGUCAGACCUACAGAGCCAGUAAGAGAGACUACUGAGGAUGAUGCUGCAUGGGCUAAAAGGAAAGGGGAUUAUGCUCCUUUGGAGAUGUCUUACAUCAUAGCCAACCAAAAGUGUGUUAAUGCAAAUAAAAAAUGCAUGGCCUUUAUAAAGAAUACCAUUGAGAGCACCAUUGUGGGCUCCAUUGCAGAGUGCACUUCAGCAGUUGAGUUGCUGACAAAGAUAAAGAGCCAGUUCACUGGCUCUUCAAAGAUAUAUGCCACCCAGGUGUUAAAACAACUUGUGACAGAACAAUACACAUGUGGUGGAAUAAGAGAGCACAUCCUGAGGAUGAGCAAUAUGGCAGCAAAGUUAAAGCCUAUGGACGAGGAUCUGGAGAUCAAACCAAAGCUCCUGGUCCACCUUGUCAUGGCUUCACUGCCAAAGGAGUUUGAAACUUUUGUUGUGAAUUAUAAUAUGUCACCUGGAACAUGGGACAUAGAAAAGACAAUUGCUAUGUGUGUCCAAGAAGAGGACAGACUAAAAGCUUCACAUGGUGGAACACUCAACUAUGUGAAGGAUCAUAAGAAAAAGAACUACAAUCAAAACAACAAAAGUUCUCCUUCAAAGCCACAAGGAAAAGCUCCCUAUCAGCAUCAGCGUCAGCAACAGUCUUUCCCAGUGGACAAAGACACUUGUCUCCACUGUAAGCAGACCGAGCAUUACAAGAAAGACUGCCCUGUUUGGCUGAAGUCCUUAAUGGCAAAGCAAGGGAUUCCAUUCGACCUGGACUACGCUAAGAAGAGAAGGAGGCAUUGA
rnacentral:rRNA from 1 species